rnacentral:rRNA from 1 species
AUACGGAGGGUGCGAGCGUUAUUCGGAAUCACUGGGCGUAAAGGACGCAUAGGCGGGUUGGCAAGUCAGAUGUGAAAUCCUACAGCUUAACUGUAGAACUGCAUUUGAAACUGCUAACCUAGAGUAUGGGAGGGGGAGAUGGAAUUAGUGGUGUAGGGGUAAAAUCCGUAGAUAUCACUAGGAAUACCGAAAGCGAAGGCGAUCUCCUGGAACAUAACUGACGCUAAGGCGUGAAAGCGUGGGGAGCAAACAGGAUUAGAAACCCUAGUAGUCC